CACCAGACUCCUACGGGAGGCAGCAGUGAGGAAUAUUGGUCAAUGGGCGAGAGCCUGAACCAGCCAAGUCGCGUGAGGGAAGACGGUCCUAUGGAUUGUAAACCUCUUUUGCCGGGGAGCAAAAAGCGGUACGUGUACCGCAUCGAGAGUACCCGGAGAAAAAGCAUCGGCUAACUCCGUGCCAGCAGCCGCGGUAAUACGGAGGAUGCGAGCGUUAUCCGGAUUUAUUGGGUUUAAAGGGUGCGUAGGCGGGACCUUAAGUCAGCGGUAAAAUUGCGGUGCUCAACGCCGUAGAGCCGUUGAAACUGGGGUUCUUGAGUGAGCGAGAAGUAUGCGGAAUGCGUGGUGUAGCGGUGAAAUGCAUAGAUAUCACGCAGAACCCCGAUUGCGAAGGCAGCAUACCGGCGCUCAACUGACGCUGAGGCACGAAAGUGCGGGUAUCGAACAGGAUUAGAUACCCUUGUA
rnacentral:rRNA from 1 species